rnacentral:lncRNA from 1 species
AAAGGCGGAGGGGCUAAAAGCGCAAUUUACCCUUCCGUAUAAAAACACGCGGAUCCUAGGCCGGGUCGGGUCGGCCUCCCCAAAACGAUGUCGUUUUGGGAAUCUGGGGGCUCUCUAAAACGGUACCGUUUUGGUACCCUAAAAAAGCCCCCAAUCUUUCCAAAAAACCAUUUUAAAACCAUCUUUUAAAAAAAACAAAAAAAACCUUUCAAAAAAAAAAAC